AACAGAUUUGAAUUGCAAGAUCCAGUUCUUGACUGUUUGAACUCGAGCAUCCAGUGCAUGUUGUCUUAGAGUAUUAGCUUAACUGAUACAAGGGUUCAUGUUCGCCCAGAAGAGAGGAUGGUUGAUGCUCAUGCUGUGGAAGAUGAUGUAGAUUUAGAGGGAAAUCAAGUUUGACUUUGAGGAUUCUAUCUGUUUAAUGUCAUAAGCCAAAUACAAGUUGGUUAACUUAAUCGAAACACCAAACUGUUGUUUAAGGAACAGGAUAGCUGAGGGAAAAUGUACAUGUGUGUCUUGUUAAUCAUCUAAAGCUGGGUCGUAACUGUCUCAGUGUUCUUAAAUGGUGUUUCAACCUCCUAGUGGUUGGCGAGGGUGAACUGCUUAUUGCAGUCUAGUGUAUUUCUUGUAUGUAACCAUCUAAUUAAGCUAUCACUCUAAUUGAAUUAAGCUUUAGUUAUGUAUCAUAUGUGCUAGCCACCUAAACUUGUUGUGAGGAACAUAUCAGAGACUACUUCAAUAAUGUACUUUACUUUUCAAGCUUCCAAUUAUCCCUUGAUCAGGUUCUAACUAGACUCCAGUGGCGGCAAUCUUGGCUACUUUUAUAAAUGGAUGCAAAUGC